rnacentral:rRNA from 1 species
UACGGAGGGGGCUAGCGUUAUUCGGAAUUAUUGGGCGUAAAGGGCGUGUAGGCGGCUCCGUAAGUCUUGUGUGAAAGCCCUCGGCUCAACCGAGGAAUUGCACGAGAAACUGCGUGGCUCGAGUCCGGGAGAGGAUAGUGGAAUUCCCAGUGUAGCGGUGAAAUGCGUAGAUAUUGGGAGGAACACCGGUGGCGAAGGCGGCUAUCUGGACCGGUACUGACGCUGAUACGCGAAAGCCAGGGGAGCAAACGGG